rnacentral:rRNA from 1 species
UACGGAGGGGGCUAGCGUUAUUCGGAAUUAUUGGGCGUAAAGGGCGCGUAGGCGGCCCGGUAAGUCAAAGGUGAAAUCCCUCGGCUCAACUGAGGAACUGCCUUUGAAACUGCCGGGCUUGAGGCCGGGAGGGGGUAGCGGAAUUCCCAGUGUAGCGGUGAAAUGCGUAGAUAUUGGGAGGAACACCGGUGGCGAAGGCGGCUACCUGGACCGGUUCUGACGCUGAUGCGCGAAAGCGUGGGUAGCAAACAGG